rnacentral:rRNA from 1 species
AUUGAACGCUGGCGGCAUGCCUUACACAUGCAAGUCGAACGGUAACGCGGGGCAACCUGGCGACGAGUGGCGAACGGGUGAGUAAUGCAUCGGAACGUGCCCAGUAGUGGGGGAUAGCUCGACGAAAGUCGAAUUAAUACCGCAUACGACCUAAGGGUGAAAGGGGGGGAGUCGCAAGACCUCUCGCUAUUGGAGCGGCCGAUGUCAGAUUAGGUAGUUGGUAGGGUAAAAGCCUACCAAGCCUAUGAUCUGUAGCUGGUCUGAGAGGACGACCAGCCACACUGGGACUGAGACACGGCCCAGACUCCUACGGGAGGCAGCAGUGGGGAAUUUUGGACAAUGGGCGCAAGCCUGAUCCAGCCAUGCCGCGUGCGGGAAGAAGGCCUCGGUUGUAACCGCUUUGUCAGGAAGAAAGCGCCAGGUUAAUACCUUGGCGUCAUGACGGUACCUGAAGAAUAAGCACCGGCGUAACUACGUGCCAGCAGCCGCGGUAA